UGGGGAAUAUUGGACAAUGGGCGCAAGCCUGAUCCAGCCAUACCGCGUGGGUGAAGAAGGCCUUCGGGUUGUAAGCCCUUUUGUUGGGAAAGAAAUCCAGCUGGUUAAUACCCGGUUGGGAUGACGGUACCCAAAGAAUAAGCACCGGCUAACUUCGUGCCAGCAGCCGCGGUAAUACGAAGGGUGCAAGCGUUACUCGGAAUUACUGGGCGUAAAGCGUGCGUAGGUGGUCGUUUAAGUCUGUUGUGAAAGCCCUGGGCUCAACCUGGGAACUGCAGUGGAAACUGGACGACUAGAGUGUGGUAGAGGGUAGCGGAAUUCCUGGUGUAGCAGUGAAAUGCGUAGAGAUCAGGAGGAACAUCCAUGGCGAAGGCAGCUACCUGGACCAACACUGACACUGAGGCACGAAAGCGUGGGGAGCAAACAGGAUUAGAUACCCUGGUAGUCCACGCCCUAAACGAUGCGAACUGGAUGUUGGGUGCAAUUUUGGCACGCAGUAUCGAAGCUAACGCGUUAAGUUCGCCGCCUGGGGAGUACGGUCGCAAGACUGAAACUCAAAUGAAUUGACGGGGGUCAUAGCGUG
rnacentral:rRNA from 1 species